UCUAUAUGGAUUCUAGUACCCACUAAGAAAUUAAAGUAAUUCCUCAAGUUGGAGAUAGAGGCUACAAAUUUGUACAAAAUAGUGAGAGAACCUUUAGACUAAAAUUCAUAUCUUUAGGCUUAAUUAAUUCAUAAACUGAUUAGAUUUUAUUUUUUUUUUUAUACAGAUAUGGCCUCAAAGUUGUCACUCCAAUCACUGUGAUAGUGAGAAAUUGAUGGGACCCAAUUUUGAUAACUGAUAUCGAAAACUUAAAAUCAUCCUGGAGC
rnacentral:lncRNA from 1 species